rnacentral:rRNA from 1 species
UCGAGCGGUAAGGCCCUUCGGGGUACACGAGCGGCGAACGGGUGAGUAACACGUGAGCAACCUGCCCCUGACUCCGGGAUAAGCCGGGGAAACCCGGUCUAAUACCGGAUAGGACGUCUCGUCGCAUGGCGGGGCGUGGAAAGGUGUCUUUCCGGUCAGGGAGGGGCUCGCGGCCUAUCAGCUUGUUGGUGGGGUGAAGGCCUACCAAGGCGAUUACGGGUAGCCGGCCUGAGAGGGCGACCGGCCACACUGGGACUGAGACACGGCCCAGACUCCUACGGGAGGCAGCAGUGGGGAAUAUUGCGCAAUGGGCGGAAGCCUGACGCAGCGACGCCGCGUGGGGGAUGACGGCCUUCGGGUUGUAAACCUCUUUUACCACCGACGCAGGCCCGUGCUUCUGUGCGGGUUGACGGUAGGUGGGGAAUAAGGACCGGCCAACUACGUGCCAGCAGCCGCGGUAAUACGUAGGGUCCGAGCGUUGUCCGGAAUUAUUGGGCGUAAAGAGCUCGUAGGUGGCGUGUCGCGUCUGCUGUGUAAGUCCGGGGCUUAACUCCGGUUUGGCAGUGGAUACGGGCAUGCUAGAGGUAGGCAGGGGAGACUGGAAUUCCUGGUGUAGCGGUGAAAUGCGCAGAUAUCAGGAGGAACACCGGUGGCGAAGCGGGUCUCUGGGCCUUACCUGACGCUGAGGAGC